ACGUAGGGGGCAAGCGUUAUCCGGAAUUAUUGGGCGUAAAGAGUGCGUAGGUGGUUUUUUAAGCGUGAGGUGAAAGGCAAUAGCUUAACUAUUGUAAGCCUUGCGAACUGGAAGACUUGAGUGCAGGAGAGGAAAGUGGAAUUCCUAGUGUAGCGGUUUAAUGCGUAGAUAUUAGGAGGAACACCAGUGGCGGAGGCGACCUUCCGGACUGAAACUGACACUGAGGCACGUAAGCGUGUGGAGCAAACAG
rnacentral:rRNA from 1 species